rnacentral:rRNA from 1 species
GAUGAACGCUAGCUACAGGCCUAACACAUGCAAGUCGAGGGGUAACAGGGUAGCAAUACCGCUGACGACCGGCGCACGGGUGCGUAACACGUAUCGAAUCUGCCUUAUGCUCGGGCAUAGCCUUCCGAAAGGAAGAUUAAUUCCCGAUAUUCCCAUUUUCCGCAUGGCAGAUGGGUGAAAGAUAUUUUCGGCAUAAGAUGACGAUGCGUUCCAUUAGCUAGUUGGUAGGGUAACGGCUUACCAAGGCAUCGAUGGAUAGGGGUUCUGAGAGGAAGGUCCCCCACACUGGUACUGAGACACGGACCAGACUCCUACGGGAGGCAGCAGUGAGGAAUAUUGGUCAAUGGGCGCAAGCCUGAACCAGCCAAGUAGCGUGAAGGAUGAAGGCCCUUUGGGUCGUAAACUUCUUUUUUGCGAGGAUAAUAUUGGGUACGUGUACCCAAUUGCAGGUAUCGCACGAAUAAGGACCGGCUAACUCCGUGCCAGCAGCCGCGGUAAUACGGAGGGUCCAGGCGUUAUCCGGAUUUAUUGGGUUUAAAGGGAGCGUAGGCUGUACGUUAAGUCAGUCGUGAAAGUUUGUGGCUCAACCAUAAAAUUGCGAUUGAAACUGGCGUACUUGAGUGCACAUAGAGUAAGUGGAAUUCGUGGUGUAGCGGUGAAAUGCUCAGAUAUCACGAAGAACUCCGUUCGCGAAGGCGUCUUACUGGGGGUGCAACUGACGCUGAGGCUCGAAGGUGCGGGUAUCAAACAGGAUUAGAUACCCUGGUAGUCCGCACGGUAAACGAUGGAUACUCGCCGUUAGCGAUAUACAGUUAGCGGCUUAGCGAAAGCGUUAAGUAUCCCACCUGGGGAGUACGCCGGCAACGGUGAAACUCAAAGGAAUUGACGGGGGCCCGCACAAGCGGAGGAACAUGUGGUUUAAUUCGAUGAUACGCGAGGAACCUUACCCGGGCUUGAAAUGUAGAGGCUCGUCCAAGAGAUUGGAUUUCCAGCAAUGGUCUCUAUGUAGGUGCUGCAUGGUUGUCGUCAGCUCGUGCCGUGAGGUGUCGGCUUAAGUGCCAUAACGAGCGCAACCCCUUUCCCCGGUUGCCAUCAGAUAAUGCUGGGCACUCCGUGGAUACUGCCGCCGCAAGGUGCGAGGAAGGCGGGGAUGACGUCAAAUCAGCACGGCCCUUACGUCCGGGGCUACACACGUGUUACAAUGGAGGGUACAGAGGGCUGCCACUGGGCAACCAGGCGCUAAUCCCAAAAUCCCUUCUCAGUUCGGAUCGGAGUCUACAACUCGACUCCGUGAAGCUGGAUUCGCUAGUAAUCGCGCAUCAGCCAUGGCGCGGUGAAUACGUUCCCGGGCCUUGUACACACCGCCCGUCAAGCCAUGAAAGCCGGGGGCACCUGAAGUCCGUAACCGCAAGGAUCGGCCUAGGGUGAAAUCGGUAAUUGGGG